AUCCUUCUGUAGGUCAUAAGCCUGAUGCAUGGGUGUUCACGUGAAUGUGUGAGAUGCGCCUCCCUCAAACCUUGUUUUGUUUUUAACAGCCAUUUUCUAUUGUUC